UGAUAAGUCCGGGACGUGUAAGAACUCUACUUGGACUAGCUGAGAGGAGGUGCAUGGCCGUCGUCAGUUCGUACUGUGAAGCAUCCUGUUAAGUCAGGCAACGAGCGAGACCCACGCCAACAGUUGCCAGCUCGUCCUCCGGGAUGGUGGGGACACUGUUGGGACCGCCUCUGCUAAAGAGGAGGAAGGAAUGGGCAACGGUAGGUCAGCAUGCCCCGAAUUAUCUGGGCUACACGCGGGCUACAAUGGGUGGGACAAUGGGUAUCGACACCGAAAGGUGAAGGCAAUCUCCUAAACCCAUCCGUAGUUCGGAUUGUGGGCUGCAACUCGCCCACAUGAAGCUGGAAUCUGUAGUAAUCGUGUCUCAAAAUGGCACGGUGAAUAUGUCCCUGCUCCUU
rnacentral:rRNA from 1 species